GAUGAACGCUGGCGGCGUGCCUAACACAUGCAAGUCGAACGGAGUCCAGCCUUUAAGACCUUCGGGUCAAAGGGGGGAAGACUGAGUGGCGGACGGGUGAGUAACACGUGGGCAACCUGGCUCAUAGAGGGGGAUAACAGAGAGAAAUUUCUGCUAAUACCGCAUAAGCACACACUGCCGCAUGGCAGAGGGUGAAAAGAGAAUCGCUAUGAGAUGGACCCGCGUCUGAUUAGCCAGUUGGCAGGGUAAGAGCCUACCAAAGCGACGAUCAGUAGCCGAUCUGAGAGGAUGAACGGCCACAUUGGGACUGAGACACGGCCCAAACUCCUACGGGAGGCAGCAGUGGGGGAUAUUGCACAAUGGGGGGAACCCUGAUGCAGCGACGCCGCGUGAGUGAAGAAGUAUUUCGGUAUGUAAAGCUCUAUCAGCAGGGAAGAUAAUGACAGUACCUGAAGAAGAAGCCCCGGCUAACUACGUG
rnacentral:rRNA from 1 species